rnacentral:lncRNA from 13 species
AUUUUUGACAUAGAAAGAAGAAUGAAUCUGAUGCUGUCUUUAGAGACAUCACAAUCGAAUUGUGAUUUGCACCUAAGAGAGUCAAGCCCAGAAAAUGAUACCCCAAAGCAAAGACUCGGGAUCAGCCUCAGAAGUAGAUUCUCUCUGACCCUCUCCACACCCCCUAUCUUUCAGCCUCAUUCACCCCCAGAGAUUAACCACAGAAACUGGACUCCCUCUUCUCCAAGAUAAGAAAAUACAGGCUAAGAACUUUUUAGCGAUGGGAUCAACUCUAGAAUCAGUGGAUACAGCAAGAAGGAGGCCAUCUGCAAGCCAAGAGGUGGAUCCUCAACAGAACUUGACCAUGCCUACUACUCUCAUCUCAGACUCAGCCUCCAGAACUGUGAAAAAGCAAAUCACUCAGUUUAUGUUAUUUAUUUAUUUAUUUAUUUUUAACAGCAAUUUGGGUUUACAAUUACAUUGAGAAACAAACAAGAAAAAUGACCAACCUAAUAAUACAGAGAAAAUAAGUAAUGAAGACAGAUUGAAUCCAGUCAGGUUGGCUCCAAAUCGUUUGCUAUUAACCACUUUUGGUGUCAGGAUUAUGCUUACUUCAGAAAACAAAUUAUGAAGAUUUCUAUAUAUUCCAUAAUCAUGUAAGUGUUUACAUUACACGGAAAUUAAUUGAUCCCACAAAAAAUCAUAAUUUAGACUUUAGUGCUUGUUUUACUUUUCUUUUUUAUAAACUAUUUUCUUCCACUGUAUGUUGGUGGAAUAUGUAUGAAUUUUUUUUUCUUUUCUUUAAAAGUCAAGCAUUUCACUAAGAUGUAGUGGUUUUUUUGGUUGUUUUUGCUUUACAUAUUUAAUUUGUCAUAUAAAUCAAGAGCACUUUUUUUUUUUGCCUGCAGAGUCCAUAAUUUAUUCAGUUUAGAAAAUAUUUUAUCCAUAAUAAUUUGAAUAUUUUUUUCUCCUUUGUUCCUUACUCAAAGUAAUUUUUUUAAAAUAGAGUCUCUUUCUGUUGUCCAGGCUGGAGUGCAGCGGAGCGAUCUUGGCUCCUUCAGCCUUUGCAUCCUGAGUUCAAGCAAUUCUCCUGCCUCAGGCUCCUAAGUAGCUGGGAUUGCAGGUGCGUGCCACCACGCAAGGCUAAUUUUUGAAUUUUUAGCAGAGAUGGGGUUUCACCAAGUUAGCCAAACUGGUCUCAAAGGAAUUUUAAUUAUUGGCUGAUAGAGUUCUAAAUCUAACUCUAACUCAACACUUGCACUAAUUCUGAAUCCAGUUCUAAUUUUGUUUCUAACAUUAAA